CUAGACAGGCAGGCCUUUAUCCUACAAACAAUUAAUUAACAGCUAAUCACCCAAUCCAGCGGGCUUCUGUCUGGCUUCUCUUUAUAUAAAAGAGA
rnacentral:tRNA from 1 species